UACGAGGGGGGCGAGCGUUGUUCGGAAUUAUUGGGCGUAAAGGGUGCGUAGGCGGUUCCGCAAGUCCUGUGUGAAAUCUUCGGGCUCAACUCGAAAUCUGCACGGGAAACUGCGGGGCUUGAGUGUGGGAGAGGUGAGUGGAAUUCCCGGUGUAGCGGUGAAAUGCGUAGAUAUCGAUCGGAACACCCAUGGCGAAGGCAGCUCGCUGGCCUAAAACUGACGCUGAGGCGCGAAAGCGUGGGGAGCAAACAGG
rnacentral:rRNA from 1 species